CAGAUCUUGGUGGUAGUACCAAAUAUUCAAAUGAGAACUUUGAAGGCCGAAGUGGAGAAAGGUUCCAUGUGAACAGCAAUUGGACAUGGGUUAGUCGAUCCUAAGAGAUAGGAGAGCUCCGUUAGCAGGUGCGUCUUCCUCGGAUGACGCCGCCUAUCGAAAGGGAAGCGGGUUAAUAUUCCCGCACCAGGACGUGGAUACUGAGUGGCAAGACAAGCGAAGCCGGAG
rnacentral:rRNA from 14 species